rnacentral:rRNA from 1 species
UACGUAGGGACCAAGCGUUGUUCGGAUUUACUGGGCGUAAAGGGCGCGUAGGCGGCGCAAUAAGUCAUUUGUGAAAUCUCAGAGCUCAACUCUGAAACUGCACUCGAUACUGCUUUGCUCGAGGACUGGAGAGGAGAUUGGAAUUCACGGUGUAGCAGUGAAAUGCGUAGAUAUCGUGAGGAAGACCAGUGGCGAAGGCGGAUCUCUGGACAGUUCCUGACGCUGAGGCGCGAAGGCCAGGGGAGCAAACGGG